rnacentral:rRNA from 1 species
UACAGAGGUCUCAAGCGUUGUUCGGAUUCAUUGGGCGUAAAGGGUGCGUAGGCGGCGCGGUAAGUCGGGUGUGAAAUCUCGGGGCUUAACUCCGAAACUGCAUUCGAUACUGCCGUGCUUGAGGACUGGAGAGGAGACUGGAAUUUACGGUGUAGCGGUGAAAUGCGCAGAUAUCAGGAAGAACACCCGUGGCUAAGGCGGCUCUCUAGUACGGUACUGACGCUGAGACGCGAAAGCGUGGGGAGCGAACAGG